AACGAACGCUGGCGGCAGGCUUAACACAUGCAAGUCGAACGCAUGCCUUCGGGCAUGAGUGGCAGACGGGUGAGUAACGCGUGGGAACCUACCCCUUGGUACGGUAUAGCUCCGGGAAACUGGAGAUAAUACCGUAUGUGUCCUGAGGGACAAAGAUUCAUCGCCAAGGGAUGGGCCCGCGUCGGAUUAGCUAGUUGGUGGGGUAACGGCCUACCAAGGCGACGAUCCGUAGCUGGUCUAAGAGGAUGAUCAGCCACAUUGGGACUGAGACACGGCCCAAACUCCUACGGGAGGCAGCAGUGGGGAAUAUUGGACAAUGGGCGCAAGCCUGAUCCAGCCAUGCCGCGUGAGUGAUGAAGGCCCUAGGGUUGUAAAGCUCUUUCACCGGUGACGAUAAUGACGGUAACCGGAGAAGAAGCCCCGGCUAACUUCGUG
rnacentral:rRNA from 1 species